GGGCGUAAAGAGUUCGUAGGCGGUUAUCUAAGUCUGGUGUUAAAGCCCGAAGCUCAACUUCGGCAUGGCAUUGGAAACUGGGUAGCUAGAGUGUGGUAGAGGUAUCGGGAAUUCCUGGUGUAGCGGUGAAAUGCGUAGAUAUCAGGAGGAACACCGGCGGCGAAAGCGCGAUACUGGGCCAUAACUGACGCUGAGGAACGAAAGCCAGGGGAGCGAAAGGGAUUAGAUACCCCUGUAGUCCUGGCCGUAAACGAUGGAUACUAGGUGUUGGAGGAUUCGACCCCUUCAGUGCCGUAGCUAACGCGAUAAGUAUUCCGCCUGGGGAGUACGACCGCAAGGUUGAAACUCAAAGGAAUUGACGGGGGCCCGCACAAGCGGUGGAACAUGUGGUUUAAUUCGAUGCAACGCGAAGAACCUUACCUGGGCUUGACAUCUUUGGAACCUUGCGGAAACGUGAGGGUGCCUUCGGGAGCCAAAAGACAGGUGGUGCACGGUUGUCGUCAGCUCGUGUCGUGAGAUGUUGGGUUAAGUCCCGCAACGAGCGCAACCCUCGUGGUCUGUUGUUACAGGUCGUAAGAUGCUGAACCCUCAGGCCAGACUGCCGGUGACAAACCGGAGGAAGGUGGGGGAUGACGUCAAAUCAUCACGCCCCUUAUGUCCAGGGCUACACACGUGUUACAAUGGGUAGUGGACAAUGGGUAGCUUGGGCAGCGAUGUCCGGCAAAUCCCCUAAACCACCCCUCAGUUCGGGAUCGUAGUCUGCAACUCGACUACGUGAAGUCGGAAUCGCUAGUAAACGCAGAUCAGCACGCUGCGUUGAAUACGUUCCCGGGCUUGCACACACCGCCCGUC
rnacentral:rRNA from 1 species